UUUAUGUUUGAUGUUAUCUUUUAGUAUGUUUUAUUUAAUAAAAAAAUUUAAGUUUAAUAAAAAAAAUAUUUUUUUUUAAAAACCCUUAAUUAAGAACCUUGUAAUGGACCAAUUAAAUUUAUGGGUCUCUUAGCUUUGUUUCUUAACACACUUUUUCUACUAAAAUGCAUUAAAAAUUAAUAAGAACCCUAAUAGGGUAUUUGCAAUAAUCAUGCUCUUAUACGUAGUUGACAUUGAAGGCCUCAAGACGGAGUCAAGAGGAAGCGGCAGAUCUUGCUAGAAAGGGUUAGCGACAGCGCUUCAGCUUGCUGAUCCGUUCAGCAAAACCAAUCAGACUAAUGAUGUUGUCUUUCUUCGUAUAGCUACUCAUCCAAAGGGGAGGAAGAUGCUUACAAAGUUUUAGGUUUUGGAAGCAGCUGGGAAAGGGAGUUAAUAGUUUGUAUCUGACACACAAAACCCUCUUUUGAAAACUCUUGGAUCCAUCUCUUUCUUUCUCAUAUACCUCUUGUUUCUCUCGUUGGCUGUUUCAAGAUUUCACAUUUUCUGGUCUCUUCUCCUACUUUUGUAAUGGAGUUGAGAAUACAGUACACCACCAUAUUUAAAGCUGGUUCUGAUAUUUUCUAUAGUAGAUUGUUUGGUUUUACUUAUGAUCGUUUGGUAUAAACAGUCUUGAAAUUACUAUAGUGAAGGAUCUUAUUA